UACGUAGGUGGCAAGCGUUGUUCGGAAUUACUGGGCGUAAAGGGCGCGUAGGCGGCUCGCUAAGUCGGGUGUGAAAACUCUGGGCUCAACCCAGAGCCUGCAUUCGAAACUGACGGGCUAGAGUUCUGGAGGGGAAAGCGGAAUUCCUGGUGUAGCAGUGAAAUGCGUAGAUAUCAGGAGGAACACCGGUGGCGAAGGCGGCUUUCUGGACAGAAACUGACGCUGAGGCGCGAAAGCUAGGGGAGCAAACAGG
rnacentral:misc_RNA from 1 species